rnacentral:antisense_RNA from 1 species
UGUUAUGGCGUGGUUAUUUGGGCAGCUUCGCGGCUGGCCGCACCUAUGCGCGGUAGUUCCAACCCACUUAACCACGUCGCCCGU